GCCUGGGUGGCUUGGUCGGUUAAGCGUCUGACUUCAGCUCAGGUCAUGAUCUCACAGUCCGUGGGUUAGAGCCCCGCGUUGGGCU
rnacentral:tRNA from 1 species